GAAUCAAACUACAUUCAUAAUAUCCAGUUCAUGUUCAAUACGCAAUACAUAUACAAACAAUUGCACUCUUCUCUUCAUCACAAGGUAUCAUUGAUUAAUGCAUCCAUUCAAUAUAUACAUACAAGAUUCAUUAGUUUUCUUCACUAAAGAUGGCUACAACCAUGAAGGAUAUACACAAGUCAGAUAUACAACAUAGGCAUGUUACAAAUAUAAUGGCUAAAAUUCCUAAGAGACCAAGUGCUUGAUCACUGAACUGACUACAGAAUAUUAUGAAGAUCAGCUCUUCAAUCGCCAAGCCAAGUCAACUUCCAUAUGAACAAAAUGUGUCAUCCAUGUUUUCAACAAAACCAAUCACGAGGACAUGUUCAAUCAACUAGCAGGCUUGCUACUUUCUAUCAUUUGUCCCUACAAAAUAAUUCAGUAAUCUUAGAAAUAAUACAAUUUGUUCAACUUUGUGAGUGAGUCCAAAGAUCCAAGAAACAAAAGAUGUACAACAUACAAGCUUGCUUACAAGAAAAGUAAACAAAUACUUGACUGCAUGACCUCUCCAAUAAAAAUUAUGCAUGUCUUUUUAUUUACUAUUACAUUUGAAACAUAAAACAAAUAAGGAGGCCUUUUAUCUACUAAAUAAAGGAUCUGAAAAAUAAAGCCAAUUAUCUCAAGAAUAUUAUAACUAUGCAAAGAUUCAAGUUACAAAAGAUAACCUUAUUAGAAUGUAAACCAAAGUCAGCAUAGCACCUAGUAUAUUACAAAUGGCUUACUAUAAAAAUGUCUGAACUUGUUGAUGAGCAAUCAGGUAUGUUCUAAGACAAGAUGAGUAAGGUCCUUAGUGUAAUUUCAGAGAUUUCGAAGUUACUGAAUCGGCAAAAAAUCACAUAAGUACUAUUACAUAUACAUGUACCAGCAGUCAUAUAUGUAUUAGUGCACUUGGUGAAAACAAGUCAAUUUACAGGAUAUUGCUUGUGUUCUGGUUCAUGCAUGCUAUGAAACAUUGUGUGGUAUACAAUAGAGGUUCGCAUAUAUUGUUCUCUGAUAUGGUCAAAAUCCUCAGACUGAACAGAUGCUGAAAAAGCUACCAAAACUAUGUUUCUCUAAAAAAAGAGUCAGAUGUAAACCUAAUAUGUGGGCUGAACUAAAUAUUCUUCCCUAAAAAAUAAUGGAAGUAGUUUUUUUGUGGCUGAUCUUUAAAAGAAAGCAAGCUUCAGUUUAGCUACUAGGAAUUGCACACUUACGGACAUUUGUACCACUCACCUUAUUUGAACAAAUAUGCAAGAAAACAUUUAGUUUAGCUUGUGUACUAAAUCACGCAUUUCUGCUAGCUUUCAUGAUUAAGUCUCUGAACUUGAUACUAUUUGCAUGAUAAUGGGGGUUGCACUACACACAUGUAAAUAUAGAAACCAAACAUUCUAUGUUCUGCUAUAACCCAGAUUUAGCAUCACUUUAUCGUGCCCAUCAUGAACCUGUGUCAUCUCAUGGAAAAAAGUUCACAAGAAUAAUACCUGAUAUAACUUAACAAAAGUUGUCUGAAUUAGAAGAUCCAUUUGCCAUCUUGUGCUAUACAAUCCGUGAAACCUAUGGAGGGCCAUGCACAAAAAACUAAAUUAGUGUCCACAUGUUUUAGAUAAGACUUCAAAAAGAUGAUAACUAAGCAUUGUACCACGGGCCGAGAUACUAAACUAUUAGGCAAUGGUGUUUCCACAUUUCGGAUUCCUAGACAAAAAAGAACUUGAUGCGUCUCUCCAAUUUUUCAUUGCAUUUGUUCCGUGCGCUCUAGUAGAGUACAAACUUGAUCAUCUUGUGUUCCUUCGCUUGGUUCCUUCUAUAGUAGAGUACAAACUUUCGCACACCUCCUCUUGGUUCCUUCUCUACAAAAGCACGAGCAUGAAAAAUCUCCUUGUGUAGGUUUUUCCUUCAAUUCUGGGUGGAGUUCAGCUGCUUCUUCAGGUUGUUUCUGCAAAAAAUAGAGCAACUGAGGCACCUAAAAUUAUUUCUAUAAUGACCUCAGUGUAGUUUUAGUCGUCAUCAAUUAAUAUGCAGUCACAAAAUUGACUGUACUAAAGAAAAGCACAUGAUGUGUAUCUCUGACUAACAAUUAGUGUCUCUGCUUGUGCGGUAGGAACUCCAGUUGUAUGUGAUGUACUCUGAUAAAUAUUUCAUCUACCCGCAGGUCAUAGUCAAGUUCUUCAGCCCGCAACAAAUUAUUUUCCCUAGUAAUUAGAAAACCUAACUAAUCGGAUACAUCACUUUCAAAAAGAGGUGCUUCAGUUUACCAAUUCAUGCCUGCUACGAGCGUAACUCUUGAUGCCAGCUACAUGGAGCAAUGAGAAAUCUGAAUAACUUUCUUCUUGGCUGGAUGAGACAAGCCGCCUACUUCCCCAGAGGGCCUCAUGUUUUCUCCCAAUGCUAAAUAUUUUCUUUAUAUUCCAACAGGAGCUCUCAACUUAUUUUUGUUUUCUGCAAUACUUGCUAGCCUCAAUUGUUCAUACGCAGGGAGCUCACUUCCAACUCUUGUUGCUUCCAUCUUUUCUCCUGUAAAUAGCACAUAUCAGACCAUGAUGCUUAAUAAAAAAAUAGUGCAAAAGAUAUGAAAAGUGAGUAAAUUAUGUAACGAUUUAAAUACAUGGCCACAACUUUUAUUGAGAAGCAGAAGAUUAAAACUGCACCAUCCACCAAGCAAUUUCGUGUGAAGUAGCAUAAUUAAGAAACAUAGUUAAGAAAAUAUAGGAAACAUAGUGAUGAAAAAUAGGAAACAUAGUUAUGAAAUAUGGAUAGGAGAAGUGGGCAUUCACUUCGAAUAUACAUACCAAAUAGACAAAAAUUAAAUAAUGGGGCGCCAAGGAAGAAUAAACUGAGACUAGAGAAAUGCAAUUUUCCAUCACCCCUUUUAUCCCUAAAAUUUUGUGACUUUGAUUUCUGAAUUUUAUGGAGCUCUCCACUUGAGCAGACUAAAACAGAAGUUAAAUGUGAUAUGCCACAAACAGACUUGAGCAUACAGUAAGUGGAGGCUAUGUUGGCAGAUUUAGAAGGUUUCUUGAUUCAAUAUGCAAACAUUAAAGUUGUGAUUCGUGAGCACCUAGAUUAUGAGAAAACUACAGAUUAGGAGUGAAAGAACAAGAAAAUAUCCAGUACAAGAAAAAGAAAAUACAUACAUGAGAUACACUGGAGGCACUACUAUGGACCAUACACAAUUGUAAGGCUAAACCUCAGUCCCUGUUUUCACGGCAUAAACAAAGGAAAUAAAAGGAUCACAGGCAGAUUUACAAUCUUACCCAACAUACAAGAAAUCUGAAUCUUCGGUGUUAUGUUCAUUUGUAGAAAAUGAAAUAAAAAUGCAUUUUUGUUCUCUCUAGAAAGUAACACAUGCCGGUAUGUCAUCCUUCUUAUAUCAACAGUAACUGAAGGUUCUGUGUCAAAUUGCAGAAUCUGGUGAAUUAGAUCUCUAAAGUGUAGGGAACUCUCCACUUGAACAUCCUCAAACAACAAUGUUGAAACAAAAGGUGUGCUACAACUCUGUUACAUUUUCCUUUCUAAAUAUGCACCCUCUAGUAGUUAAAGCUGGUCUCUGAAUGUUAAUAUGUGCAGAAGUUACUAAUAAGCCUUCUUACAUGAGCAUGCCCACCACUGGAUAAAUGAAAAGACAAGAUGCAAGAGUAGACAAGAUUAAACAAGACGGAACAAGAGCAAAGCCUAGAACUUAUAUAGGAGUAGAUGCAAAGGACAAAACUCAGUUUACCUACAAUGGCCUGGAGACUGGAGUCGGGCAGGACAAGGGGUGUCGAUCUGGACAGGGGUCGCUGGUGGAGGAAGACGAACGGCGGGGCGACUCCAGAACUCGGUUGC
rnacentral:lncRNA from 1 species